AUGAACGCUGGCGGCGUGCCUAACACAUGCAAGUCGAACGAAGCACCUUACCUGAUUCUUCGGAUGAAAGUUUGGUGACUGAGUGGCGGACGGGUGAGUAACGCGUGGGUAACCUGCCCUGUACAGGGGGAUAACAGCUGGAAACGGCUGCUAAUACCGCAUAAGCGCACGAGGAGACAUCUCCUUGUGUGAAAAGCUCCGGUGGUACAGGAUGGGCCCGCGUCUGAUUAGCUGGUUGGCAGGGUAACGGCCUACCAAGGCAACGAUCAGUAGCCGGUCUGAGAGGAUGAACGGCCACAUUGGAACUGAGACACGGUCCAAACUCCUACGGGAGGCAGCAGUGGGGAAUAUUGCACAAUGGGGGAAACACUGAUGCAGCAACGCCGCGUGAGUGAAGAAGUAUUUCGGUAUGUAAAGCUCUAUCAGCAGGGAAGAUAAUGACGGUACCUGACUAAGAAGCUCCGGCUAAAUACGUG
rnacentral:rRNA from 1 species